GCUGGGCCGUUACUGACGCUGAGACACGAAAGCGUGGGGAGCAAAUAGGAUUAGAUACCCUAGUAGUCCACGCCGUAAACGAUGAAUACUAAGUAUCGGGGUUUCUCGGUGCUGAAGUUAGCACAUUAAGUAUUCCACCUGAGUAGUACGGUCGCAAGGCUGAAACUUAAAGGAAUUGACGGGCACCCGCACAAGCGGUGGAGCAUGCUGUUUAAUUCGAAGAUACGCGAAGAACCUUACCUAGACUUGACAUCCCGUUGACCGCUCUAGAAAUAGAGUUUUCCCUUCGGGGACAAUGGUGACAGGUGGUGCAUGGUUGUCGUCAGCUCGUGUCGUGAGAUGUUUGGUUAAGUCCAAUAACGAGCGUAACCCUUAUCUUUAAUUGCUAACAUUUAGUUGAGAACCUUAAAGAGACUGCCGGUGAUAAACCGGAGGAAGGUGGGGAUGACGUCAAAUCAUCAUGCCCCUUACGUCUAGGGCUACAGGCGUGCUACAAUGGCCGAUACAAAAAGACGCAAAGUCGCGAGACCUAGCAAAUCUUUAAAGUCGGUCCCAGUCCGGAUUGGAGUCUGCAACUCGACUCCAUGAAGUUGGAAUCGC
rnacentral:rRNA from 1 species